GGCUUCAUGGUCUAGUGGUAUGAUUCCUGCUUUGGGUUCGCUCAAGCUUGCAGGAGGCCCCGCGUUCGAAUCGCGGUGGAGCCC